CCAUGCCGCGUGCAGGAAGAAUGCCCUAUGGGUAGUAAACUGCUUUUAUACGGGAAGAAAAAGAGCUACGUGUAGCUUACUGACGGUACCGUAAGAAUAAGGACCGGCUAACUCCGUGCCAGCAGCCGCGGUAAUACGGAGGGUCCGAGCGUUAUCCGGAAUUAUUGGGUUUAAAGGGUCCGUAGGCGGGCGAUUAAGUCAGUGGUGAAAGUCUGCAGCUCAACUGUAGAAUUGCCUUUGAUACUGGUCGUCUUGAGUUAUAGUGAAGUUGCCGGAAUAUGUAGUGUAGCGGUGAAAUGCAUAGAUAUUACAUAGAACACCGAUUGCGAAGGCAGGUGACUAACUAUAUACUGACGCUGAUGGACGAAAGCGUGGGGAGCGAACAGGAUUAGAUACCCUGGUAGUCCACGCCGUAAACGAUGGAUACUAGCUGUCCGGGACCUUGAGUCCUGGGCGGCCAAGCGAAAGUGAUAAGUAUCCCACCUGGGGAGUACGUUCGCAAGAAUGAAACUCAAAGGAAUUGACGGGGGCCCGCACAAGCGGUGGAGCAUGUGGUUUAAUUCGAUGAUACGCGAGGAACCUUACCAGGGCUUAAAUGCAUAUUGACAGGGGUAGAGAUACCUUUUCCUUCGGGCAAUUUGCAAGGUGCUGCAUGGUUGUCGUCAGCUCGUGCCGUGAGGUGUCAGGUUAAGUCCUAUAACGAGCGCAACCCCUACCGUUAGUUGCCAGCAUGUCAUGAUGGGGACUCUAACGGGACUGCCGGUGCAAACCGUGAGGAAGGUGGGGAUGACGUCAAAUCAUCACGGCCCUUACGUCCUGGGCCACACACGUGCUACAAUGGCAGGUACAGAGAGCAGCCACGUCGCAAGGCGGAGCGAAUCUAUAAAACCUGUCACAGUUCGGAUCGGGGUCUGCAACUCGACCCCGUGAAGCUGGAAUCGCUAGUAAUCGGAUAUCAGCCAUGAUCCGGUGAAUACGUUCCCGGGCCUUGUACACACCGCCCGUCAGCAUGGAAGCGGGAGUGCUGA
rnacentral:rRNA from 1 species